rnacentral:rRNA from 1 species
GGUUAAGCGACUAAGCGUACACGGUGGAUGCCCUGGCAGUCAGAGGCGAUGAAGGACGUGCUAAUCUGCGAUAAGCGUCGGUGAGGUGAUAUGAACCGUUAUAACCGGCGAUUUCCGAAUGGGGAAACCCAGUGUGUUUCGACACACUAUCAUUAACUGAAUCCAUAGGUUAAUGAGGCGAACCGGGGGAACUGAAACAUCUAAGUACCCCGAGGAAAAGAAAUCAACCGAGAUUCCCCCAGUAGCGGCGAGCGAACGGGGAGGAGCCCAGAGCCUGAAUCAGUGUGUGUGUUAGUGGAAGCGUCUGGAAAGGCGUGCGAUACAGGGUGACAGCCCCGUACACAAAAAUGCACAUAUUGUGAGCUCGAUGAGUAGGGCGGGACACGUGGUAUCCUGUCUGAAUAUGGGGGGACCAUCCUCCAAGGCUAAAUACUCCUGACUGACCGAUAGUGAACCAGUACCGUGAGGGAAAGGCGAAAAGAACCCCGGCGAGGGGAGUGAAAAAGAACCUGAAACCGUGUACGUACAAGCAGUGGGAGCCUCUUAAUGGGGUGACUGCGUACCUUUUGUAUAAUGGGUCAGCGACUUAUAUUCUGUAGCAAGGUUAACCGAAUAGGGGAGCCGAAGGGAAACCGAGUCUUAACUGGGCGUUAAGUUGCAGGGUAUAGACCCGAAACCCGGUGAUCUAGCCAUGGGCAGGUUGAAGGUUGGGUAACACUAACUGGAGGACCGAACCGACUAAUGUUGAAAAAUUAGCGGAUGACUUGUGGCUGGGGGUGAAAGGCCAAUCAAACCGGGAGAUAGCUGGUUCUCCCCGAAAGCUAUUUAGGUAGCGCCUCGUGAAUUCAUCUCCGGGGGUAGAGCACUGUUUCGGCAAGGGGGUCAUCCCGACUUACCAACCCGAUGCAAACUGCGAAUACCGGAGAAUGUUAUCACGGGAGACACACGGCGGGUGCUAACGUCCGUCGUGAAGAGGGAAACAACCCAGACCGCCAGCUAAGGUCCCAAAGUCAUGGUUAAGUGGGAAACGAUGUGGGAAGGCCCAGACAGCCAGGAUGUUGGCUUAGAAGCAGCCAUCAUUUAAAGAAAGCGUAAUAGCUCACUGGUCGAGUCGGCCUGCGCGGAAGAUGUAACGGGGCUAAACCAUGCACCGAAGCUGCGGCAGCGACACUAUGUGUUGUUGGGUAGGGGAGCGUUCUGUAAGCCUGUGAAGGUGGCCUGUGAGGGUUGCUGGAGGUAUCAGAAGUGCGAAUGCUGACAUAAGUAACGAUAAAGCGGGUGAAAAGCCCGCUCGCCGGAAGACCAAGGGUUCCUGUCCAACGUUAAUCGGGGCAGGGUGAGUCGACCCCUAAGGCGAGGCCGAAAGGCGUAGUCGAUGGGAAACAGGUUAAUAUUCCUGUACU